rnacentral:rRNA from 1 species
UACGGAGGGGGCUCGCGUUGUUCGGAAUUACUGGGCGUAAAGCGCACGUAGGCGGCUUUGUAAGUUAGAGGUGAAAGCCCGGGGCUCAACUCCGGAAUUGCCUUUAAGACUGCAUCGCUAGAAUUGUGGAGAGGUAAGUGGAAUCCCGAGUGUAGAGGUGAAAUUCGUAGAUAUUCGGAAGAACACCAGUGGCGAAGGCGACUUACUGGACACAUAUUGACGCUGAGGUGCGAAAGCGUGGGGAGCAAACAGG